GAUGAAGAACGCAGCGAAAUGCGAUAAGUAGUGUGAAUUGCAGAAUUCAGUGAAUCAUCGAAUAUUUGAACGCACAUUGCGCCCCUUGGUAUUCCAUGGGGCAUGCCUGUUCGAGCGUCAUUUGUACCUUCAAGCUUUGCUUGGUGUUGGGUGUUUGUCUCGCCUUUGCGUGUAGACUCGCCUUAAAAUAAUUGGCAGCCGGCGUAUUGAUUUCGGAGCGCAGUACAUCUCGCGCUUUGCACUCAUAACGACAGCGUCCAAAAGUACAUUUUACACUCUUGACCUCGGAUCAGGUAGGGAUACCCGCUGAACUUAAGCAUAUCAAUAAGCGGAGGA
rnacentral:misc_RNA from 1 species